AAACCAUGAUGUGGACACUCUAAGAGAACUUCUUUGAAACGUUCCAUACAUCGAGAGAAUGAUUCAUUGGGUCGUUGGUGAAAAUAGAGAAUGUCGUUCCUAAGUUU
rnacentral:snoRNA from 1 species